UACGGGGGGGGCAAGCGUUGUUCGGAAUUACUGGGCGUAAAGGGCGCGUAGGCGGUUCGAUAAGUCCCGUGUGAAAUCCCUCGGCUCAACUGAGGAAUGGCACGGGAAACUGACGGGCUUGAGUUCGGGAGAGGGAAGCGGAAUUCCGGGUGUAGCGGUGAAAUUCGUAGAUAUUCGCAAGAACACCAGUGGCGAAGGCGGCUCACUGGCCCGAUACUGACGCUGAGGCACGAAAGCGUGGGGAGCAAACAGG
rnacentral:rRNA from 1 species